rnacentral:rRNA from 1 species
CUAAGCAUAUCAAUAAGCGGAGGAAAAGAAACCAACAGGGAUUGCCCUAGUAACGGCGAGUGAAGCGGCAACAGCUCAAAUUUGAAAUCUGGCGCAAGCCCGAGUUGUAAUUUGUAGAGGAUGCUUCUGGGUAGCGACCGAUCUAAGUUCCUUGGAACAGGACGUCAUAGAGGGUGAGAAUCCCGUAUGUGACCGGCCCGCACCCUUUACGUAGCUCCUUCGACGAGUCGAGUUGUUUGGGAAUGCAGCUCUAAAUGGGAGGUAAAUUUCUUCUAAAGCUAAAUACCGGCCAGAGACCGAUAGCGCACAAGUAGAGUGAUCGAAAGAUGAAAAGUACUUUGGAAAGAGAGUUAAAAAGCACGUGAAAUUGUUGAAAGGGAAGCGCCUGCAACCAGACUUCGCGGCAGUGUUCCGCCGGUCUUCUGACCGGUUCAUUCUCUGUCGCGAGGCCAUCAUCGUCUGGGCCCGCCGGAUAAGACCUGAGGAAUGUGGCUCCCCCUCGGGGGAGUGUUAUAGCCUCUGGUGAUGCGGCGUGGCUCGGGCGAGGUCCGCGCUUCGGCAAGGAUGAUGGCGUAAUGGUUGUCGGCGGCCCGUCUUGAAACACGGACCAAGGAGUCUAACAUCUAUGCGAGUGUUCGGGUGUCAAACCCCUACGCGUAAUGAAAGUGAACGGAGGUGGGAACCGCAAGGUGCACCAUCGACCGAUCCUGAUGUCCUCGGAUGGAUUUGAGUAAGAGCAUAGCUGUUGGGACCCGAAAGAUGGUGAACUAUGCCUGAAUAGGGUGAAGCCAGAGGAAACUCUGGUGGAGGCUCGCAGCGGUUCUGACGUGCAAAUCGAUCGUCAAAUUUGGGUAUAGGGGCGAAAGACUAAUCGAA